CAAUGUUUUUGCAAAUUUGCACACAAAGUAAAUCUUUGCACACAAGUACAUUUGCUAUUGUAAUAAUUCAAUGCAAAAUAUCAGUCAUAUGAACACCAUAUAACUAUAAGAGGAAGUAGUAUAAGAAACUUACAU